UACGUAGGGGGCAAGCGUUGUCCGGAUUUACUGGGCGUAAAGAGCGCGUAGGCGGACGUUUAAGUGUGGCCUGAAAGCCCCCGGCUCAACCGGGGAUCCGGGUUGCAAACUGGACGUCUUGAGGGAGAUAGGGGAAGGUGGAAUUCCUGGUGUAGCGGUGAAAUGCGUAGAGAUCAGGAGGAACACCCGUGGCGAAGGCGGGUCUCUGGGCCGAUACUGACGCUGAGGAGCGAAAGCGUGGGGAGCGAACAGG
rnacentral:rRNA from 1 species